AAAAAAAAAAGAGCAGAAAAUGCACAAUAUUAUUGAAAAAAUAACAAAAAGGUUAAUUCAAGCAUUAAAAACGUAAUUAAAACGAUGAACAGUCUUGGCGGAUACCCCAGAAUGGCAUCUGCAGUACAAGGAAAAGGGGUCUGCAUCACCCUGAAGCGAAAGUUGGAUGACUCGCAAUUGAGUGACCCCGAGGAACGACAGAAGCCAACAAUGCCGACCAUUAUGGCGAGAGGAUGAACAGACGCACAUUGAUUACAGAGAAUAGCACGUCAGCCGAUGGGCUCUAGAUCCGCAAAGAUGCCGCCGCCGAGCGGGCUCUUCGAGUAUUCGUUGGUACUACUGAAGCUGAACAUUUGGGUUAGGGCGACUCGCCACUAGCAAAGAUCCUGAGGUAGCGGAUAAGGAUGCGUCAACUGCUGGAGCUGGAUGAUCUGGCCUUGGCCUAUGGUACUCAUUUACUUCAUGGCGAAUGGCUUCAUUGCCAGCUACUCGGGAGUUCCUAUAGCUAGGCAUGCCCCGGCUCUACAGGUCUUUGACGACAACGUGGUGCUGCAUCCCAACGAGGGCUGAUCGCAGGUUGAGCUAUACAGUGCGCUAUAUAGUGUCCACCGAGGCACUGAGAAGACAAUUGAAACGGUUUUCGGAAGCAUGGAGGUGAAGGAUGAGGAUCGUACUCGUGACUGGCAGGUCUCCGAUAAACAGAUUGCCGAUGGGGACCAAUUCGCCAACUAUGUGGUCUAGCAG